rnacentral:rRNA from 1 species
GCAUAUCAAUAAGCGGAGGAAAAGAAACCAACAGGGAUUGCCUCAGUAACGGCGAGUGAAGCGGCAACAGCUCAAAUUUGAAAUCUGGCCUCUUUGGGGUCCGAGUUGUAAUUUGUAGAGGAUGUUUCGGGUACCGCCUCGGUCUAAAUUUCUUGGAACAGAAUGUCAAAGAGGGUGAGAAUCCCGUCUUGGACCGGCGGUAGGGCCCAUGUGAAACUCCUUCGACGAGUCGAGUUGUUUGGGAAUGCAGCUCAAAAUGGGUGGUAAAUUUCAUCUAAAGCUAAAUAUUGGCCAGAGACCGAUAGCGCACAAGUAGAGUGAUCGAAAGAUGAAAAGCACUUUGAAAAGAGAGUUAAACAGUAUGUGAAAUUGUUGAAAGGGAAGCGCUUGCAACCAGACUUGAGCGCGGCGGUUCCCCCUUCCUUUUGGUUGGGUUACUCCGCCGUGUCCAGGCCAACAUCGGUUCUGGGGGUCGGUUAAAGGCUCGAGGAAUGUAUCUACUCCUUCGGGGGUAGACUUAUAGCCUCGGGUGUCAUGCGACCUCCCGGGACCGAGGAACGCGCUUCGGCUCGGAUGUUGGCGUAAUGGUUGUCAGCGACCCGUCUUGAAACACGGACC